UCUCUCAUAAAACAACAUACAACUAUGUAAAACAUUUAAAUGCAACAACAAAUGCGAUCAAUAUUGCAACUAAGGUAACAAUUGACCCAACAACAUAAUGAUACCAAGCCUCUUUGUCAACGGCAUAUUUUCUAAUAUUCCUAAUCUUCAAGCGCAUUUCAUCCAUCUUCAAACGCAUUGCAUCCAUCUUCAACCGCAUCGCAUCGAUCUUCAUCUUGCGAUCAUCAAUGACAUCGAGAACAUGCAACUCCAGUUCCAUAUUCUUCUCCUCAAUUAUUUUCAAUUUUUCUUCAAGUAAUUAUUAACUUGAGCUCAUGGAGAGAAAGACCGAAAGACCUAUUUUCUACUAGCGAUGACAUCUCAUGGAGAACAGCAAGGUACGCCUUGCGGCAACGUCAAAUUACGUGCUGAGCACCUGCUUGUCCCGUGGUCGGCACAGCUAGUUUGUGAUCAGGCAGUUCAACAUAAUGAUGGACCUCCAUGCGAGAAAUCAGACACACUUUUAUAGGUGUGUAUUUCUAUACUUCCGCAACGGAUACAGAUACACGUUGACAAAUUCUGCAGCAGUGAGGGCCUGCAUAGUCUCUGACACGCCAAUUCGUACGAGCUGGCUGCCAAGUGGCAAGGUCUCUGCAAAGAGCAUGGAUACUGAAUGUGCAGAGGACACGGUGCGCACCCAUGGUGAAUGAGUUUAACAAAUAUAAGAUCGUGGUCAUUCUCCGAACUUUUUCUUCCCUAUGCCCCUCACUCUCAAGCUAACCUCGAUUUCUUUUUUGUUAUAUUGUUUCCAUUACUUUUUGUGGGAGAGACAUGCAUCAAAUGAGUCAUGUAGCAUGGGGGGAACACAAAAGAUCGGGGGUGCUAUAUAAAUCCUGUCGUUGCUGAUGAAAACAUUAAUAUCAAUUCUAUUUCACAUUGAAAUAUGGCAAGGUAAGACAUUCGUAGCUACUAACCAUCUCCUAUCCGGUGAAUGUGAUUAAAAGACAUGUGUUUGGGCUCGUUGCACACAUACAAAAUGGGACAGAGAGUUUGUGCGUCACAGAGAGAAAGGUGAUUGUCAUUGAGUGGUCCGAAUUCGCUGUACCUUCUAUCCACAGAUGAACAAACAAUAUUUUUGUUAGACUAUUAAUUAAAAGGUCUGUAGGUGCCUGCAAUUUUCUUCUGCUUAUAAUG
rnacentral:lncRNA from 1 species